CAUAUGUUCACAUCUCUUUCAACUUUGUGGUCAGCAAAUUCAUGUUGAUAGCUUGAAAUUAGCCGUGUUAGGAGUAUUUACACCACAGAAAUUAAAGACUGCUACAAACCAGAUUUUUUUUUCUCUGAGAGCAGGUUAAUGAUUUAUAAAUUUUUCUCUUUGAGUCUCAAUUUCCUCAACUGGAAAAAUAAGGAUAAUAGUUUUUAUACAUUUUUAUUUUGUUAUUGAAGAUUAAAUAGCCUGGUAUAUGUAUAUAAAGAAAUUCCUGGCUCUUUUCAUUUUUCUGUAUAUACUCUCUAUCUCACGGGUGACUGUUUGAGCUAGAGGUAUGUGAUGCUAUAUAGCAGAAAGAGCACUCUAUUAUGCUAUUAUCUUGCUCCUAUGAUUGUAUGACCCCAGUUAUUUAUGUUUCCUUUUUAUUUUUGCAUUAAAAAAUUUUUCUGAUAUCUAAGACUAUGAUAGAAAUUUCAUAUGUAUAUAUGUGCAUGUAUGUGUGUGUGUAUAACAAAUCACUUUUUUAAUACCCUUGAUGUAUUAAAUGCAAAGCAGAAAUUAUUUGGAAGAUGAAAUAUAUAGGAAUACAUUAUAAAAAGUAAUAUUUGGAUUUAUUUUGUGACUAAGUUGUGAAUGUUAUUUUUACUAUUGCUCUUAAAAUAUAAUCUCUUAACACCUAAGUUGUUUUACUAAAAGGAAGCUAUUGGUUAGAAAAACAGGCAACAACAGGUUUUUAUAAUCUUCAUAUUUUAAAAAACUGAUACAUUUCAACCCUGUAAUUUUCUCCUGUUUCUUAAUAACAUGAAUUUUAGAUAAAGAUAUUCCAAUGAAAUUAUUUUUGUUAUUUAAAAAGAUUAAAAUGAACAAUUUUUUCUGUCAUACACAUAAUACAAAUUAUUUAUAAUACUUCUUUUUUAUUUUUAUUUUUAAAUUGAAAGAAAAUCGAAAUCAAAACAAAUUACCAAAGGACAAAUCAUUCUUUCCAAUAACAGAAGAUUGUUAUGUUCAAAACAGCAACUGAUUAAACAGACUAUAAAACAGAACAGACGGCCUUCUAGUCCAAUCUCAAGAAAUUCAAGUCCAGAGGAGCAGGCUGACACUAGAAACAAGAUUCCAGCUGUGAACCAUUGUGAAUGAGAAACUGCUUUUGCUUCUGUUACAGUAGGUCUAGCAGAGAUGUAACCAGAGCUCCGUCUUGUGUCACAGGAAAGGCUCACAGCAGCAACACUCAUCAUUCCCCAAUCCAGCAGGCUAGAACCUAUGACCCAUGCAUAGGUUAUAACAGAUCUUCAGAUCAUAAUUAUGGUGUCUGAACAUGGAUGUGUACGCACACAAGCAUAUGCACACACAUGCACACAUUUUCUCUCACCAUAAUCAAAAAACUGCAAAAAAUUUCACACAUUUACAUAUGUAAAAUUAUCUAAAAAUAUAUUUUUAAAUAGUAAAGAAAAUUUUGUAUGAUUCGUAUUAUAUCUUGUUUUGAAAGUGGUUCAUAUUUUAGGAAAGGGGCAAUGGCCAAUACUUGUUUGGUUUAGUUUUGACUUUCAUAGUAUCAUCUGUAUUCCAUGAUUACAUCUAACUUUUAGGCAUCAUGUCAAACGAUGUUGAUUAUAUCUGCAUUUAUAACACACAUAGAUUGCCUCUUCUGUCAAGGAGAAGAUAUAGCACAAAUACACAAUUCAUUUUCAGCGCAGCCCUGUAACCACUGGUUAUAAAUUUCAACUACUUUCUUACCAGUAUUUUC
rnacentral:lncRNA from 10 species